rnacentral:lncRNA from 1 species
AUAAAAUCAAUUUUUGCUUUUAGUACUAGCCAUCAUAACAAUUUAAGAAAAAUAACUGAUAAUAUUAUCAUACAUAAAGAUUUUGAGGAACUAGCACAAUACAUACCUCCUAGAAAAUACCAAGAACAUGAAGUCACUAUACCAGAACAAAUAAUGCUUGAUUUCCAUAAACAAGCCAGAGAAAUUAACUCUGAAGGAAAAUUAAUAAGAAGAAAUAGUGUGAGCUUAGAAGGAGAUAAUCUUAUUGCAAGAUUUCCCUCGAGACAAGACCCUAAGAUAAGCAGACUUAAGAAUCUAAGCAUUGCUGAACCAUCAAGUUCUCAAUACUAUAUCAAGACAAGAUAUGUGAACCAAGAAGGAUAUAAGAAGAAUCUUCUUAUCCUCAUAGAUACUGGAGCAGAUAAGAGUCACGUAAAUGCUAAAUUUGUUAGUCAUCUAACAGAAUUUGAGAUAUCAGAACCAUACAUAUUUAAAGAUUAUUUAGGAAAUAAUCUUGAAAUCAGGAAAUAUGUUAAGUUUCCUCUUAUACUUAUAGGAGAAGAUCAAAGAGAAUAUACUAAAGAAAUAAUUUUAUACAAAGAUGAAUUAUAUGGAUUAGAACGUUCACCUAUUCUAUUAGGAAUGAACUUUCUUGAGAAAUAUAGUCCUUACAAAAUUUGUCAAGGAUAUUUAAAGAUAACAGUUGAUGAUAAUCCAAUUAUCAUUCCAAGAAUAGAUGAAAAUAUGAAAUCAUUGUUAUCAUGGAAAGAGUAAUAAGUACUAAUCCCAUGAGCCCAUAUAUUGAAAUUACACUCAAUAUAAAAGAAUACUGUAGAAUUAAAUUUCACGCUUACUUAGAUACAGGAAGUACAAUAAGCCUUUGUUUACCUAAUGUAUUGCCAUCUGAAUACUGGAAAUAUAAUUCAAAGAAAGUAGUAACUGCUACAACAGCAGGUGGAAAUAAAGUAAUAUACAGCAAGUAUGCUACUCAAGUACCUUUUCUAAUCUCCUUUAGAGAAGUAUUUGUUGAUACAAUAUAUAUGUCAACCACAAUUGGAUGUGAUAUUUUAUUAGGACAGAAUUUCCUAUUAAAAUAUGCACCAUUUACACAAUAUAUUGAUAAAUAUAUGUUCACAACACCUUGUGCACAUAAGAUAUUUACACCAAAAAUAAAUAAAGCUGUUACGAUUGCAUAUAGAGAAAUAAAUCAUCAGAGUUCCUCAACCCAGCGUGGUGGAUGUUGGAGUACAGAAAAAUU